UACAGAGAGUGCAAGCGUUGUUCGGAAUUACUGGGCUUGAAGCGCACGUAGGCGGCGUUGUAAGUGUCGGGUGAAAUCCCACGGCUCACCCGUGGAACUGCCCGGCAUACUGCGAUGCUAGAGUGUGGUAGGGGAGAGCGGAACUCCUGGUGGAGCGGUGAAAUGCGUAGAUAUCAGGAGGAACACCGGUGGCGAAGGCGGCUCUCUGGUCCACAACUGACGCUGAGGUGCGAAAGCUAGGGUAGCAAACGGG
rnacentral:rRNA from 1 species